rnacentral:rRNA from 1 species
CCUACGGGCGGCAGCAGUGGGGAAUAUUGCACAAUGGGGGAAACCCUGAUGCAGCGACGCCGCGUGAGUGAAGAAGUAUUUCGGUACGUAAAGCUCUAUCAGCAGGGAAGAAAAUGACGGUACCUGACUAAGAAGCCCCGGCUAACUACGUGCCAGCAGCCGCGGUAAUACGUAGGGGGCAAGCGUUAUCCGGAUUUACUGGGAGUAAAGGGAGCGUAGACGGCAGCGCAAGUCUGGAGUGAAAUCCCAUGGCUUAACCAUGGAACUGCUUUGGAAACUGUGCAGCUAGAGUGCAGGAGAGGUAAGCGGAAUUCCUAGUGUAGCGGUGAAAUGCGUAGAUAUUAGGAGGAACACCAGUGGCGAAGGCGGCUUACUGGACUGUAACUGACGUUGAGGCUCGAAAGCGUGGGGAGCAAACAGGAUUAGAUACCCCUGUAGUC